rnacentral:rRNA from 1 species
CCUACGGGUGGCAGCAGUGAGGAAUAUUGGUCAAUGGGCGAGAGCCUGAACCAGCCAAGUCGCGUGAGGGAAGACGGUCCUAUGGAUUGUAAACCUCUUUUGCCGGGGAGCAAAAAGCGGUACGUGUACCGCAUCGAGAGUACCCGGAGAAACAGCAUCGGCUAACUCCGUGCCAGCAGCCGCGGUAAUACGGAGGGUGCGAGCGUUAUCCGGAUUUAUUGGGUGUAAAGGGUGCGCAGGCGGCGGAGUAAGGCAGCGGGAAAAGUUCGGGGCUCAAACCCCGCAAGGCGGUUGAAACUGGAUUGCUGGAGUGCGGGAGAGGUAUGCGGAAUGCGUGGUGUAGCGGUGAAAUGCAUAGAUAUCACGAAGAACUCCGAUUGCGAAGGCAGCCUACCGGAGCGCAACUGACGCUGAGGCACGAAAGCGUGGGUAUCGAACAGGAUUAGAUACCCGGGUAGUC